AUAAGAAAUCUUAAUAAUUCAAAGUUUAUGCCCAGAAGCAAGAAGGCUGUCAGCAGCAAGUUAACAGACAAGAUGAAAUAACCUGAUAUGGUCCUGAAGUCGACUAACCGCUUGAACCAAAGGGGCAACAACACAAAAGUAAAUGGAAAGAUUGCAGUCUGGAAAAUGGAUGAACUUUAUAUGGGAAAGACGUUUUCAUUUUCUGGCCAGCUCUAUGAAUCAACCAGGCAGUCCCUCAGGAAUUCAAGAUGCAUUACUUGAAUAUGAAGCUGCUCUUGCCUGCAGACAUCUGGUUACUUUGGGUUGCCACCCAUUCUAAUUUCUCUUUGACAGAGGUAGUUUUGAGAGAGAUGUCUAGCUGUCCUAAUUUUUCCAGGUGAAUGAGUUUGCAAGGAAUGUUUUUAACUGAAUUACAGUCUGAUAGUCCCACUGGGCCAAGAAGAUAUGUGAGCUGGAAACAGAUCUCACCUGACAUCUCAUUUGUACCACCUUAACAUUUUUUAUGGCAGAACAAAUUCUGAGCAGCUACACUUUCUGUGGUGAGAGAUCUCAGCAGAUUGUUUUGUCCCGAAGACAUGAGCAUGGCUGUUUCUCUUCUGAAGAUUUAUUUUGUUAUGAGGCAUGGUCAAGACUAUAGAAAGUCAGCUGACCUUUAGCAAAAAUAAAAAUGAGCUGCUGAAAGUCUGAGCA
rnacentral:lncRNA from 1 species